UUUUAUCUAUGAUAGAUGUUAUAUACUGCUUGUCCUUUCGUCUUUUAUCGUUUUAUGCCGUGACGUUGGCACUUUUGUAUCGUAUUGUGAGUUUGCAAAUCCCAUUGGUACAUUCCGCCUCUCUUUUUCUAAGAUUGUGAGGUUGGACGCCGUUCGUGCUGAGAUAUGUAGCACUCUGAUCUAUAUUAAGAAUGAUUGACAGUUUGGGUACAAUGGUUCUCGUUGGGUUUCCAGAUUGGUCAAUAUCCCUAAUGCGCCUCAAAAUGAGGAACUAAAAAGUUCGGUUUAAACAAAAAAUCUCUGUGGAGUGAUAUUUUACACGUUUCUAUGAUAAACUAGUGACUGAGCUUAACUAUUUGUGUUGAUUUAGAAAGUA
rnacentral:lncRNA from 1 species